rnacentral:rRNA from 1 species
CCUACGGGCGGCAGCAGUGGGGAAUAUUGGACAAUGGGCGAAAGCCUGAUCCAGCCAUGCCGCGUGUGUGAAGAAGGCCUUCGGGUUGUAAAGCACUUUCAGUGGGGAAGAAAGCCUUGGGGCUAAUACCCUCGAGGAAGGACAUCACCCACAGAAGAAGCACCGGCUAACUCCGUGCCAGCAGCCGCGGUAAUACGGAGGGUGCGAGCGUUAAUCGGAAUUACUGGGCGUAAAGCGCGCGUAGGCGGUCUGAUAAGCCGGUUGUGAAAGCCCCGGGCUCAACCUGGGAACGGCAUCCGGGAACUGCAGGGCAAGGGGGAGGAGGGGAAGGGUGAAUUCCCCGGGGUGGGGUGAAAAUGGGUGGGAUCGGGAGGAAUACCAGUGGCGAAGGCGGCCUUCUGGACUGACACUGACGCUGAGGUGCGAAAGCGUGGGUAGCAAACAGGAUUAGAUACCCCAGUAGUC